AUUGAACGCUGGCGGCAGGCCUAACACAUGCAAGUCGAGCGCGAAAGUUCUUCGGAAUGAGUAAAGCGGCGGACGGGUGAGUAAUACAUGGGAAUCUGCCUGGUAGUGGGGGACAACGUUUCGAAGGAACGCUAAUACCGCAUACGCCCUACGGGGGAAAGGGGGGGAUCUUCGGACCUCUCGCUAUCAGAUGAGCCCAU
rnacentral:rRNA from 1 species